rnacentral:lncRNA from 1 species
CCCAGCGCCGCCGCGGGCCCGGCCGCGGCUGCCUCGGCCCGGCGCGGCGCCUUUCCCCGGCAGUUUCCUGCGGAGCUGCGCUGGGCCGGCUCCGCCGCAGCUCCCGCUGUGUCGGGGACGGGCGCCCGCAGAAAAGCCUCCCCGGAGCCCGGCUGGCCUCAGAGCUCGCACGGGCGCUCCACCCGCACCAGGUGUUGGGGCCCGAGCCCUUCCAGCCCUGCGGACCCUGGGACGAGUCCUCUGGUCCCCAAACAGAUGCUGACAUACUCCCCCUGAGAACCUGUACCAGUGCUUUAGGCCUUUUUAUUUCAACGAUAUAAAGUGUGGCUAUGGUAGUGCAUUGGGUUGAGAUCCUUACCCUGGCUGAGCUACAGACCUGUGCCUUACCUUUUCCUUAUCAACUCCUUUGUUGGAAUUAUUAUAAUUGUAAUUCCCAUUUGCCUAUCACUCUGGCUCUUAAUGAACGCCUGAGGAUGAGUAGUAUCAUGUGGGGUGUGCCUGGAAUGAGAGAAAUGGAUGUCACAGAAAAUGGCUGUGAGCCAGCACCUACCAGGAAGAGGACACAGAACAUCUCAAGUCCAUCACUACUAAGUCAUGAGGUGGAUUUCCAUGGCACAAAAUGCUCUGCUCUCUUUGGUUUGUCCACUGGAUCAACAAGCACUUGUCUUCCUGGAUCCUCAGGGAUCCUGCCAGAUACUGACAGUUACAGCUAGAGUGGUACAAAACUGGUGGCAUGUCAUCAAGCUAGGGAUAGGAAAUUAUACCUGCCCUGAAGGUGUAAUGUUUUCAUAUCUGUUCCAUGCUGCCGAGGCUGUUUUAAUUAUUGCGCAUUGUAUAAAAUUUCUAAAAGUAAAAUUUAUCUGAAGUGUACAAGUGAAAUCUGAUUAAUAUAAAACACAGUCAUGUUUUCACAAAUCAGCAUACUAAUUCAGACCACAGUACAGAGAGGAGAAAAAAAGGAUAAUCAUAAACCAUGGAACAAAACUGCUGUCAAGAGAUUUGUAGAAUAAUCAAAGUUACUUCAACAUUCAAUGGAGUUUAAAACCAUGAAAAGUCAGAUUUUCUUGUGCAUAAAGAAAACCCUGUAAUCCAAUAUAUCCUUUAACUAUGACACAGUCUGUGCAGCAGAAGCAUGAAAAUAAAAGGAGAGCCUGUGAUAAAUGGUUUGAAGAA